CAGAUCAAUCUGGGUGUGUGCCAAACUCUGGGCAUUAAGAGAAGUCUAUGUGCGCCAUACCAUCCACAAACAAAUGGACUGGUUGAGAGACUCAAUGGCACAAUUCAGAGGUAACACACAGUCCAUAUUUUUAAAAUGAGACCAUUUGUAUAUGGCAAUAUAAUCUUAUUAAUUUAUUAAUUUAUUUAUUUUUCGCUAUAUAGAUGUUUGAGCAAGUUGAUAGGAAACAGGCCAAGCUCGGUGGCUGAUUAUUUGGAGGCCACAAUGUUUAGUCUGCGAACCAAAAAGCAGAUAACAAACAAAUUUUCCCCAUACUUUCUGCUAUUUGGUCGUGAGGCUAGGUACCCAUGUGAGGUACCAGACACCUAUGAGGUAGGCACUAUAAAUUUUCUAUAGCAGUAUUUUUUUUCCAAUGUGUAAGCACAAUUUUCUUCUAUACUGUAGAUCAAUGAAAGUGUGGAGGAAAUGAUUGCAGAGGAGUGCAUUUCUGAAUGUUUAAACGGCAGGACAGGUUGUACCAAAUUGUUCAGGAGAAUAUUGCACAGGUGCAAAAAAAAAUAAGAAAGAGGAAACUUGAUCAAGGAGAGGCUGUUGUCAUGCAGGUUGAGGACAGAGUCCUGAGGCAAAACAAAAGAAGUCAUCAGAAAUUAAGAACCCUCAUCAGGUAAUGGUUUAUAAGUUUUAUACAAAUUUGUCUUUCUUCAAUAAAAGGGGUUUCAUGGAUACAAAAGGUUUCAAGGGUGCCACAUGGAAGUGUGUAAAAUUACCUCACAGCCUACAACCAGAUGCCACUUCAUGUGGGGUGUUUGUGUGUAAGGUAAGCAGUUGUUUUUUGCAGAAGCACUUCUUCUCGGGGGAGACUUGACCUUCUCAUGUGCAGACGCAAACAUUGCACAGAUGCGUGAAGACCUGAGUCUAUGCCUUUUGAAUGAAUCAGAACCUCUGGAUAACCUGUGCCUGGCUUGUGGAGAAGAAUAUCCCCACACACCAGACCAGAUAGACACUUGGAUUGCAUGUGACUCUUGCAAUGGCUGGUACCACUGGGACUGCAUAACCAGGCCAAGUUUGGAGGCACAUUUUAUUUGUUUAUAUGUCAAGGCCCUAUUUAAAGUGUUUUACCCCCCACCCCCACCAAUAUGUCUUGUCCACAUACACUUAUGUAAAAUAAAAACUUAACACCAAAUCAUUUGAUGUCUUUAAUGUAUUCAACAUUAUACUUAAUUUCUUUACAGUAGUAACUGUGCAAAUUAUUGUGACCCUGGAGCAAAAAAAGCAGUCUUAAAUCGCUGGGGUAUAUUUUUAGCAAGAGCCACAAAAAAGUGUAUGGGUCAAAACAAUUUUUUCAUUUAUGCCAAAUCAUUAGGAAAUUAAGUAAAGAUCAUGUUCCAUAAGAUAUUUAGCUGUUUAUGACAACAUGCAUUGUUAAAAGCAGUAUAUAAAGAAAACUGAAUUUAUUGUAUAGACACUUAUCGACCCACGAAAGAACCUGCCAUUACAAAAUCUCUCCUUCAUCAAAGGUAAAAAGGUUUUUAAUGGAUUGCAUCACCUCUAAAUGCAGUCAUUAAACCACGUGUCAAGAUAUGAAUGCAGUUUGCAAAAAAAUUCCAUCACAUUGAACAAUACAAGCCUCCACCGUUGAGCCUAGAGGGAGAUGUUUCCAUGUAGCUUUAGGCUCUGGACUUUCCCUCUAAAUAGUUUUGGAAUCAUUGCUUUGUAAUGUGGCAGCAAAAGUACCACUGUUUCUUGUCAACAUUUUUCCAUUUCAUCACCCCAUUAGGCUCCAACUCUCUGCGUCAUGUGACAGAGAAGCAGUCCAAUAGGCUCUAUGCACGCGUACUUCAGCGCUUGACACAAGGCUGCUCUUCUGUUUCCAGCUGGAGAGGUUUGAAGCAG
ensembl:lncRNA